AGUGAACGCUGGCGGUAGGCCUAACACAUGCAAGUCGAACGGCAGCACAGUAAGAGCUUGCUCUUACGGGUGGCGAGUGGCGGACGGGUGAGGAAUACAUCGGAAUCUACUUUUUCGUGGGGGAUAACGUAGGGAAACUUACGCUAAUACCGCAUACGACCUACGGGUGAAAACAGGGGAUCUUCGGACCUUGCGCGAUUGAAUGAGCCGAUGUCGGAUUAGCUAGUUGGCGGGGUAAAGGCCCACCAAGGCGACGAUCCGUAGCUGGUCUGAGAGGAUGAUCAGCCACACUGGAACUGAGACACGGUCCAGACUCCUACGGGAGGCAGCAGUGGGGAAUAUUGGACAAUGGGCGCAGGCCUGAUCCAGCCAUACCGCGUGGGUGAAGAAGGCCUUCGGGUUGUAAAGCCCUUUUGUUGGGAAAGAAAAGCAGCAGGUUAAUACCCCGCUGUUCUGACGGUACCCAAAGAAUAAGCACCGGCUAACUUCGUG
rnacentral:rRNA from 1 species